GCCUAGGUGGUGGAAUUGGUAGACACGCUGUGUUCAGGUCGCAGUGAGCUUACGCUCGUGAGAGUUCGAGUCUCUCCCUAGGCACCA
rnacentral:tRNA from 1 species